AUGUUAAGUAGUGAUUUGGUCCAGUUCAAAAAGGUCAAAUUUUAUCACGUCUGAAGCUGUCAAACUGAAUUUUACACCCCCUUAAUACAGAAUUGUCAAUAUUUUGAGUUAGAGCUGGUAGAAGUUUCUAUAAUUUUGAUAUUAUUUGUCUCACUGGUAGUGCACUACACUGUAAAAAUCUUUUUGAGAAAGAGCAGGUGCGAUUUUUUUUAAUUUGAAUUUAUUGUCUAAAAGAAAUGCACUACGAAAUAACUGUGUUCUCUGGCCAA
rnacentral:lncRNA from 1 species